UACAGAGGUCCCAAGCGUUGUUCGGAUUCAUUGGGCGUAAAGGGUGCGUAGGCGGCGCGGUAAGUCGGGUGUGAAAUCUCGGGGCUUAACUCCGAAACUGCAUUCGAUACGGGCAGACUAGAGUUCGGUAGGGGAGACUGGAAUUCCUGGUGUAGCGGUGAAAUGCGUAGAUAUCGGGAGGAACACCAGUGGCGAAGGCGGCUCACUGGCUCGACACUGACGCUGAGGUGCGAAAGCGUGGGGAGCGAACAGG
rnacentral:rRNA from 1 species